rnacentral:rRNA from 1 species
UACGGAGGGUGCAAACGUUGCGCGGAUUUACUGGGCGUAAAGAGCGCGCAGGCGGUCGUUCAAGUCGAGUGUGAAAGCCCCCGGCUCAACUGGGGAGGGUCACUCGAUACUGAUCGACUUGAAGGCAGGAGAGGGAAGCGGAAUUCCCGGUGUAGUGGUGAAAUGCGUAGAUAUCGGGAGGAACACCAGUGGCGAAGGCGGCUUCCUGGCCUGUUCUUGACGCUGAGGCGCGAAAGCGAGGGGAGCAAACGGG